rnacentral:misc_RNA from 1 species
GAGGCCAUCAAGCUAUCGGACUAUGAGCGAACGCUGAAGAAAGCAUCUUCUGGAAAGUCCAAACCAGUCCCUCAGCUUGGAGAGCAACCAAACCAGGAGAUCGAGCCGUUGGUGACCGGUAAAGAAAUGACGAUAGAACAAUUUAUUACUGACACCGGUCUAACUACGGAUCAAUUGCUAGGAGUCGCACCAAUCGAAAAGGCGGAAGUGAAAUACAUGUACG